UUCCUACGGGAGGCAGCAGUGAGGAAUAUUGGUCAAUGGGCGGAAGCCUGAACCAGCCAAGUCGCGUGAGGGAAUAAGGCCCUACGGGUCGUAAACCUCUUUUGCCGGGGAGCAAGGGCGGGGACGUGUCCCGGCCCGGAGAGUACCCGGAGAAAAAGCAUCGGCUAACUCCGUGCCAGCAGCCGCGGUAAUACGGAGGAUGCGAGCGUUAUCCGGAUUUAUUGGGUUUAAAGGGAGCGUAGAUGGGUUGUUAAGUCAGUUGUGAAAGUUUGCGGCUCAACCGUAAAAUUGCAAUUGAUACUGGC
rnacentral:rRNA from 1 species